rnacentral:lncRNA from 1 species
CCAUGUCAAUCUUGGCGGCUCAGGCUCUCAGCAUUUCAGUCGAGUUGCUUACCUAUCAUCGCGUCGUUUCCUGAUAUCUCCUGCUAUGCAGUUUUGCAUACUGCAUAAUGUAUUGCCGUUUAUUUUGUUUGGUUGUGCAGUUCAUGCUACUUGAUUUGAUUUCUCCAUCAUGAUCCUAGUGAUUUCUCUCCCUCUGUUAGAGUUUGUGUCGAAUAUAUGUACGUAGUCAGUUACAGUUUAGGACUUAGAGUUGUACUAGGUGUAGGACUAGAGUAUGAGUCGGACUCUAUCCUAGGUUCUCUCAUAAAUAGAGGGGCGUGCCUGUUGUAACCGCAUGGCAACUUAGCAUAGCGAGAGGGAACAACUGCCGGCGGCGACCGGCCAUGAGUCAUUGUAACUCUGAUACGCUGUAAUAUGCUGGAUCGGGGAGGAGCGCCCGUAAUCAAUGCCCCGGAGAUGUAGGCCUCAGCUGAACUCCGUUAUCAAAUAUCGUGCAUCGGUGUCGUCAUCGUGUUUGGAUCUUUUCUUCCGCGUUUGGUUUCCGAUGUGAUUUCGAGGCCGGUUUUAUAACAAGUGGUAUCAGAGCCUGCGGGAGAUCCAUGGUAGAGGUACGAGGGAGGUGCUCCACACCGCGACGACUACACAGGGUGUCCAGGACGGACAUGGACGCAAGGUGGAGCACGACGGCGAUCAACAGAAUUUGAUCGGUGGAAUCGAACACUUCAGGCGGUCGUCUGAACCGUUCGAUGGCUGCAAUCAACAGGAGAUGACUAGACGUGGUGCUCGGGUUGAUGGCGGCGGAAGCGAUUGGCGAUUCAAUCGGUGGGUCGGACACUUCGGGCGGGUGGCUCGAACUUUCCAGUGAGCUACUUUCAACAGGGAGCGGCUGGCCAGACGCUCGGGGUUGAUUGAAGCUGGAGGCGAUCGGCAUUCUCGAUCGGUGGAAUCGAACACUCUGGGCGGGGUGGCCUAGGCCUUUCGAUGAGCUGCGUUCGACAGGGAGACGGCUAGACGUAGCACUUGGGUCGUUCGGCGGCUGGGAAGACGACAUGCGACUUGUCGGCUUCGGCUCGCGACUAGAUUGAUGGCGUUUAAUCGGAAGUUGGAGCAGGUGGAUCCUACAGGCUGUUUUGGAGGUGUUAACGACAAGGUACUGCGUGGAGGAUUGCUACCUAGCAGCGUACAUGCGAUGGAUGGCAGAACAGAGAAGUACAUGCGAUGGAUGGCAGAACAGAGAAGCGUCAGUAUAGAAUCAAUACAUAUUGGCGGCGGAAGUCAUUGACAAUGUCGGUGGUCGUGCUGUGUGUGUUUGCUCUGGAACCAGGAUGUCGUUGAGGUACGUGAAGCUUGGAGGUCAGGGUCGCGGUGGUGUGCACGAUUUCGCGUUGAGGCGUGCGGCGUGCCGGCGACGGAGACAGAAGCGAUGCUGGUAGUAGCAGGCUCGGUCUGGGUUCAUGCAAGACUUGACUUGGUGGAGGUCGUGGUACAGGAGUCGGGCACAGUUCGAUUUCAAUACACAUGGCACGGAUGAGAUCAACAAGGAGACCAUGUCGGGAACGGAAGGGGAUUGGACGAGGACUGUAUUCGUUUUGGAAUCAGAGUCAAGUUUUACCCAAAAUAGAAGCAGCAGGGAUUCCACGGGAUUGCAGAGAUUGCAAUCGAAUCAAACCAACCAAAGCAAUGAAGAGAUCGGACCCGAUUUCUUGGGCGGCGGGGGUUUGGGCGAUGAACUGCGAGCGGUAGAAGCACGGCUUGGUGUAGUCGUCGUGUAGGUGCCGGCGAGUUCGACGCGGGCCGGCUCCGGCGAGGAGGCGGCAGGUACCGGCGAAGGGGCGGUGGCGACGCUCCUGUGUCAGGGAGGCAGCUCCCGUGGGCGUCGGCAUCCUCACCGGCGGGAAACCCACGGCGGCAGCAACGGCGGUUGCCCUCAUCGUCGAAGUCCUGAGGGGAGGCAGCGCAAGGGAGUCCAGCUCCCGUGCGUGGCAGCGCCUUCCAGCGGGCGACAGCGUUGAAGAGAAACCUAGGCGGCGGCAGUAGCAACGGCGGCAUUUUUUCUUGGGGAUGCGGAGGAGUGGUGAGGUGCGGUGGGCUCUGGUGCUCAUGCUCGGCAGAAGGAGUGGCGGCUGGGAAGCGGCGCGCAGGCGCUUGGCGGCGGCGCACUUGGGCCGAGGAGACGUGAGCGAAGAAGCGAGAAGAGGGUCGAUCUGGUCCUUCUGUGUUGACUGGGUCUUACCGAUAGAAAAACCAGUUGGUUUUUUGGAGAAGGAAAAGACCGGUCGGUCCGCUGGUUAGGCUGUUUAUGGAUGAGUCUGUUGUGGCUUUGCACGUGACGAGGCUAUGGGCUGCAUGGAACGUUAAUUCAUUCGUGCAUUGAUUUGGUCAGUACAAGAUCUGAGGGAAGGACACGUGUGUAUGUCAAAUACACAUGCUUGGAUCUUGUGGAGCCAUGGAAUAUGUGAGAAAGCGAAGGAAAUUGAUGCAUGCAGCAAGGCAGUAACAUGCUAAGUGUUGGUACGACUCGGUAAAGACAGUCUUCGAGUGGGUGAAAAUAAUCCCGGGCAACAGCGGGUGAAAAUCGUUGAGGGUAUCAACGGGCUGUUUGGCAGUACAGGAUAUAUCCAGGAUCUACGGGGUUUGCAUGAUGGGGAUAUAUGGAAUCUGCGUCACUGAAGAGAAAGAGCAAACGCUAUGGUGGUAAUUUCUUCGGGUGAUUCAAGGCAACGGUGAUUUUCUCAAAUUGCCAGGAAUUCAGUCUACGGAUGCGGAGAAGCGUGGAUGUUGGAUUUAUUAGCUCGGUUCAUAAGACGACAAGGAAGAAAGGGUUCUCUUCAUGUCUGGUGAGUUUGGUUUGUCUAUUUGGUGAUGACAUCGGUUAUCUAGCCAUGGAUUAGAUCAAGUCAAACUUAAGACGGUAGAUGGAGGUGAACAUGGUCUUCAGGGAGUCUAUGAUGUGACAGCUAAGAAGAAUUCAAUUCGCUUGGCAAGACGACUGUGGUGAUAGGAGAGAAGGUGGAGCACUGUUGCAGGUGGAGUCAAUAGGAAGAAAUUGUAAAAAUAGCGAAGUCUCUUGUUACGGUGAGCCCGAUGGAGGCUUGUCGGGGCGGCUCGGCGUGAGCGGCGAAAAAGGAUCAACUCAAGUCCGGGUACACGGAGAUUUGAGCAAGUAACAGAUUCAGGUUGGCGUGGCAUAUUCGCCAAGGUGGAGUUUGUUAGAGUUUGUGUCGAAUAUGUGUAUGUAGUUGGUUACAGUUUAGGACUUAGAGUUGUACUAGGUGUAAGACUAGAGUAUGAGUCGGACUCUAUCCUAGGUUCUCUCAUAAAUAGAGGGGCGUGCCUGUUGUAAC